rnacentral:rRNA from 1 species
CCUACGGGUGGCAGCAGUGGGGAAUAUUUCACAAUGGGGGAAACCCUGAUGCAGCGACGCCGCGUGAGUGAAGAAGUAUUUCGGUAUGUAAAGCUCUAUCAGCAGGGAAGAAAAUGACGGUACCUGAUUCAGAAGCCCCGGCUAACUACGUGCCAGCAGCCGCGGUAAUACGUAGGGGGCAAGCGUUAUCCGGAUUUACUGGGAGGAAAGGGAGCGUAGACGGCAGCACAAGUCUGGAGUGAAAUGCCGGGGCUUAACCCCGGACCUGCUUUGGAAACUGUGCAGCUAGAGUGCAGGAGAGGUAAGUGGAAUUGCUGGUGUAGCGGUGAAAUGCGUAGAUAUUAGGAGGAACACCAGUGGCGAAGGCGGGUUACUGGACUGUAACUGACGUUGAGGCUCGAAAGCGUGGGGAGCAAACAGGAUUAGAUACUCCUGUAGUC